GGAGGCGAGAAUAUAGCGGGAACUAGUCGGGGUAUGGAUUGAAGGUUCUAGAAAGUCGUUUCAGUAGUCCUCACCAUUUUUAUAAAAUAAUGUAUCAAUAAAUGUAAUGAGGACUUAUUUGGGCGUGAAUAUUUUCUAGAUGAUAAUAUUUGUAUUUAAACUCACAGUUUAUGUGUUGUACUAAUAAAGUUGUAGUUGUUUCUGUACCAUGUUAUUGACAACUCAAAAUGGGUGAUAUAUACCUAUUUUGGGGGCGUCACACUGAUGCUGACGUCUUUCUAUCAUUGUUGAAUCUCUUCUUCAUGAAAUGUCCAUUCUUAUUGUUUUGGCC
rnacentral:lncRNA from 1 species